rnacentral:rRNA from 1 species
UACGUAGGGGGCGAGCGUUGUCCGGAUUUAUUGGGCGUAAAGAGCGUGUAGGCGGCCAGGUAGGUCCGUUGUGAAAACUCGAGGCUCAACCUCGAGACGUCGAUGGAAACCAUCUGGCUAGAGUCCGGAAGAGGAGAGUGGAAUUCCUGGUGUAGCGGUGAAAUGCGUAGAUAUCGGGAGGAACAUCAGUGGCGAAGGCGGCCCUCUGGUCCAGUACGUGACAC